rnacentral:snRNA from 1 species
AUUGCUUCUCAGCCUUUUGGCUAAGAUCAAGUGUAGUAAAAAUGAUCCUUUAAAAACAUAGAAACCAUUUAUUCUUAUUUUGAGACCCCACCCCAA